CAGCAGCCGCGGUAACACGAAGGGGGCUAGCGUUGUUCGGAAUUACUGGGCGUAAAGGGCGCGUAGGCGGCCAUUCAAGUUAGAUGUGAAAGCCCUGGGCUCAACCUAGGAAUUGCAUUUGAUACUGUUUGGCUUGAGUUCGGGAGAGGUGAGUGGAAUUCCCAGUGUAGAGGUGAAAUUCGUAGAUAUUGGGAAGAACACCAGUGGCGAAGGCGGCUCACUGGACAUUUACUGACGCUGAUGCACGAAAGCUAGGGGAGCAAACAGGAUUAGAUACCCCCGUAGUCCCUGUCUCUUAUAC
rnacentral:rRNA from 1 species